CUUGCUUGGUGGAUCAGUGGCGAACGGGUGAGUAACACGUGAGCAACCUGCCCUGAACUCUGGGAUAAGCGCUGGAAACGGCGUCUAAUACUGGAUAUGAGCUGCGGAGGCAUCUUCGUGGUUGGAAAGAUUUUUCGGUUUGGGAUGGGCUCGCGGCCUAUCAGCUUGUUGGUGAGGUAAUGGCUCACCAAGGCGUCGACGGGUAGCCGGCCUGAGAGGGUGACCGGCCACACUGGGACUGAGACACGGCCCAGACUCCUACGGGAGGCAGCAGUGGGGAAUAUUGCACAAUGGGCGGAAGCCUGAUGCAGCAACGCCGCGUGAGGGAUGACGGCCUUCGGGUUGUAAACCUCUUUUAGCAGGGAAGAAGCGANAGUGACGGUACCUGCAGAAAAAGCGCCGGCUAACUACGUGCCAGCAGCCGCGGUAAUACGUAGGGCGCAAGCGUUAUCCGGAAUUAUUGGGCGUAAAGAGCUCGUAGGCGGUUUGUCGCGUCUGCUGUGAAAUCUGGGGGCUCAACCCCCAGCCUGCAGUGGGUACGGGCAGACUAGAGUGCGGUAGGGGAGAUUGGAAUUCCUGGUGUAGCGGUGGAAUGCGCAGAUAUCAGGAGGAACACCGAUGGCGAAGGCAGAUCUCUGGGCCGUAACUGACGCUGAGGAGCGA
rnacentral:rRNA from 1 species